rnacentral:rRNA from 1 species
GAUGAACGCUAGCGGCAGGCUUAAUACAUGCAAGUCGAGGGGCAGCAUGGUGUAGCAAUACACUGAUGGCGACCGGCAAACGGGUGCGGAACACGUACAGAACCUUCCUUCGAGCGGGGAAUAGCCCAGAGAAAUUUGGAUUAAUACCCCAUAGUAUUACGGAGUGGCAUCACUUUGUAAUUAAAGAUUUAUCACUUGAAGAUGGCUGUGCGGCUGAUUAGAUAGUUGGUGAGGUAACGGCUCACCAAGUCUGCGAUCAGUAACUGGUGUGAGAGCACGACCAGUCAAACGGGCACUGAGACACGGGCCCGACUCCUACGGGAGGCAGCAGUAAGGAAUAUUGGUCAAUGGACGAAAGUCUGAACCAGCUAUGCCGCGUGGAGGAUGAAGGCCCUCUGGGUUGUAAACUUCUUUAUAUGGGACGAAAAAGGGCCUUUCUAGGCCAACUGACGGUACCAUGUGAAUAAGCACCGGCUAACUCCGUGCCAGCAGCCGCCGUAACAC